rnacentral:rRNA from 1 species
UAGGGAAUCUUCCACAAUGGACGCAAGUCUGAUGGAGCAACGCCGCGUGAGUGAAGAAGGUUUUCGGACCGUAAAGCUCUGUUGUCGGUGAAGAAGGAUAGAGGUAGUAACUGGCCUUUAUUUGACGGUAAUCAACCAGAAAGUCACGGCUAACUACGUGCCAGCAGCCGCGGUAAUACGUAGGUGGCAAGCGUUGUCCGGAUUUAUUGGGCGUAAAGCGAGCGCAGGCGGAAGAAUAAGUCUGAUGUGAAAGCCCUCGGCUUAACCGAGGAAUUGCAUCGGAAACUGUUUUCUUGAGUGCAGAAGAGGAGAGUAGAACUCCAUGUGUAGCGGUGGAAUGCGUAGAUAUAUGGAAGAAUACCAGUGGCGAAGGCGGCUCUCUGGUCUGCAACUGACGCUGAGGCUCGAAAGCAUGGGUAGCGAACAGGAUUAGAUACCCUGGUAGUCCAUGCCGUAAACGAUGAGUGCUAAGUGUUGGGAGGCUUCCGCCUCUCAGUGCUGCAGCUAACGCAUUAAGCACUCCGCCUGGGGGAGUACGACCGCAAGGUUGAAAC